rnacentral:misc_RNA from 1 species
UACCGAUUGAAUGGCUCAGUGAGGCCUCAGGAUCUGCUUAGAGAAGGGGGCAACUCCAUCUCAGAGCGGAGAAUUUGGACAAACUUGGUCAUUUAGAGGAACUAAAAGUCGUAACAAGGUUUCCGUAGGUGAACCUGCGGAAGGAUCAUUAAAGAAAUUUAAUAAUUUUGAAAAUGGAUUUUUUUGUUUUGGCAAGAGCAUGAGAGCUUUUACUGGGCAAGAAGACAAGAGAUGGAGAGUCCAGCCGGGCCUGCGCUUAAGUGCGCGGUCUUGCUAGGCUUGUAAGUUUCUUUCUUGCUAUUCCAAACGGUGAGAGAUUUCUGUGCUUUUGUUAUAGGACAAUUAAAACCGUUUCAAUACAACACACUGUGGAGUUUUCAUAUCUUUGCAACUUUUUCUUUGGGCAUUCGAGCAAUCGGGGCCCAGAGGUAACAAACACAAACAAUUUUAUCUAUUCAUUAAAUUUUUGUCAAAAACAAGAAUUUUCGUAACUGGAAAUUUUAAAAUAUUANU